GAUCCUGGCUCAGGAUGAACGCUGGCGGCGUGCUUAACACAUGCAAGUUGAGCGAAGCGGUUUCAAUGAAGUUUUCGGAUGGAAUUGAAAUUGACUUAGCGGCGGACGGGUGAGUAACGCGUGGGUAACCUGCCUUACACUGGGGGAUAACAGUUAGAAAUGACUGCUAAUACCGCAUAAGCGCACAGGGCCGCAUGGUCUGGUGUGAAAAACUCCGGCGGUGUAAGAUGGACCCGCGUCUGAUUAGG
rnacentral:rRNA from 1 species